rnacentral:rRNA from 1 species
CCACGCCGUAAACGAUGAUGGCUGGCUGUAGGCGAUACACAGUCUGCGGCUGAGCGAAAGCAUUAAGCCAUCCACCUGGGGAGUACGGCCGCAAGGCUGAAACUCAAAGGAAUUGACGGGGGCCCGCACAAGCGGAGGAACAUGUGGUUUAAUUCGAUGAUACGCGAGGAACCUUACCCGGGCUGGAACGUAUAAGUAAGUAAGUGGAAACAUUUAUGCCAGCGAUGGACUUUUACGAGGUGCUGCAUGGUUGU